AUUUCAAGGAUGUUGGAAAAAUCGUUAACGAACUCAGCAAAGAUGUUGACAGUUAAAAUGGCAACGACAAAUAUGAACUAUAAUGUAAACAAGAUUUGGCUGAAUACAAUGGACCAAUGAUCACUUCUUCAUCAAUCAAAUUCAAAAAAAAUGCUGCAGAAAGAUUUCAAGAACAAGAUUUAAAUCAAAGUUAGCUAAAAAAUGCUCAAAGUUUGGAAGAGGAUGAUGACUUAUGACAGUUAUGAAGAAUAGGUUAUUGAGGAAUUGGAUGUUGAUGGAAUAACUAGUGCUCAAGUGAAGAAAACAAAAGACAUUUUGAAGCAGUCCAAUUAUAGCAUGGAUGAAAUGCAAGCAAUUAGUAAAGCUGGAGCGGGUCUGUACAAGUUUGUAUUGGCCGUUAUGGGAUAUUGUUCCGUAGCUAGAGAGAUUAAACCCAAGCGAGAAAAGGUGGCGAGACUUGAACGCAACUUUUUGCUGAGCAAACGUGAGUUGAGCAAGA